rnacentral:misc_RNA from 1 species
GUGAAGAACGCAGCGAAAUGCGAUACGUAAUGUGAAUUGCAGAAUUCAGCGAAUCAUCGAGUCUUUGAACGCACAUUGCGCCCCCUGGUAUUCCGGGGGGCAUGCCUGUCCGAGCGUCAUUGCUGCCCUCAAGCACGGCUUGUGUGUUGGGCCUCCGUCCUCCUCCCGGGGGACGGGCCCGAAAGGCAGCGGCGGCACCGCGUCCGGUCCUCGAGCGUAUGGGGCUUCGUCACCCGCUCUUGUAGGCCCGGCCGGCGCUUGCCGACACAUCAAUCUUUUUUCCAGGUUGACCUCGGAUCAGGUAGGGAUACCCGCUGAACUUAAGCAUAUCAAUAAGCGGAGGA